UGGCUACAUCUUAUACAUGAAUUCAUGGCUGUAUACACAAUUCAUACGAGUACAAACGGCCUUAAAAUUAUAAUCGUAGCAAGGACUAAUAACUGUGUGAGAAGUAUAAGAAGAUGUCUGUGGAACAUGAUUUAUGCCUACUGCAAUAAACUGAAGCCAUAGCUGCCCAUCAAUGACGUCCCAUGCACGCAUAUGAUCACGAGCUUUUCUAAGUCGAAAUUGCAUGUCAAAUUUAUAAACGUUCUCAAAAGGUACACCCCCUUAUAAUCGUCAUGUAGCUAAUCAAUUCAUUUGCCAAUUCCGGGAAUCUUUGCAAUAAAAUUUUCAUAUAAUUUAAAAAACCCUUCAGUCCACUCACCUAAGUUAGAUAAUGAUUUACUUUUGAAUAUUUGUUUCUGUCAAUUAAAAUGUCUCCAUCUUCAUCAAAACCGAGCACUUUUUUCGGUUGAUCAAUAUUUGAAACAAAAUGUUUUUGUAAAGUAAUUGUGCCAAAUCAACAUAUUCUAAAUUCCAUAUUUGGUUUAUAAUUUUUUUGUGGUACAAACACAUCAACAUCAUUACUAGUAGGUAUAACUAAAAUCUCACCGUUUUGUACAGAAUUACGAGCUGUGGGCUGCCCUGGGUGUACACAUCCCUGAUCAGGAACUUGUUGUUCAGCGGGCUGCAGAGGAAGUUUGAAGUUCAAAUGAGUUGUGGUUGUAGAAUUGGCUGUAGUGGUACAAACGGCUGUUGUGGUAAUAACUGCUGUUGUGGUUAUAACUGAUGUGGUGGCAAUAACUGAUGUGGUGGCAUUAAUGGCUGUUGUGGUGC
rnacentral:lncRNA from 1 species